rnacentral:tRNA from 10 species
GCGGGAAUAGCUCAGUUGGUAGAGCGAUACCUUGCCAAGGUAUAGGUCGCGAGUUCGAAUCUCGUUUCCCGCUCCA